CGCACGGGUGAGUAACACGUAUCCAACCUGCCGUCUACUCUUGGCCAGCCUUCUGAAAGGAAGAUUAAUCCAGGAUGGCAUCAUGAGUUCACAUGUCCGCAUGAUUAAAGGUAUUUUCCGGUAGACGAUGGGGAUGCGUUCCAUUAGAUAGUAGGCGGGGUAACGGCCCACCUAGUCAACGAUGGAUAGGGGUUCUGAGAGGAAGGUCCCCCACAUUGGAACUGAGACACGGUCCAA
rnacentral:rRNA from 1 species